AGUGAACGCUGGCGGUAGGCCUAACACAUGCAAGUCGAACGGCAGCACAGUAAGAGCUUGCUCUUACGGGUGGCGAGUGGCGGACGGGUGAGGAAUACAUCGGAAUCUACUUUUUCGUGGGGGAUAACGAAGGGAAACUUACGCUAAUACCGCAUACGACCUACGGGUGAAAGCAGGGGAUCUUCGGACCUUGCGCGAUUGAAUGAGCCGAUGUCGGAUUAGCUAGUUGGCGGGGUAAAGGCCCACCAAGGCGACGAUCCGUAGCUGGUCUGAGAGGAUGAUCAGCCACACUGGAACUGAGACACGGUCCAGACUCCUACGGGAGGCAGCAGUGGGGAAUGGUGGGCAAUGGGCGCAAACCUGAUCCAGCCAGACCACGUGGGUGAAGAAGGCCUUCGGGUUGUAAAGCCCUUUUGUUGGGAAAGAAAAGCAGCAGGUUAAUACCCCGCUGUUCUGACGGUACCCGAAGAAUAAGCACCGGCUAACUUCGUG
rnacentral:rRNA from 1 species